rnacentral:rRNA from 1 species
UGGGGAAUAUUGGACAAUGGGCGAAAGCCUGAUCCAGCCAUGCCGCGUGUGUGAAGAAGGUCUUCGGAUUGUAAAGCACUUUAAGUUGGGAGGAAGGGCAGUAAGCGAAUACCUUGCUGUUUUGACGUUACCGACAGAAUAAGCACCGGCUAACUCUGUGCCAGCAGCCGCGGUAAUACAGAGGGUGCAAGCGUUAAUCGGAAUUACUGGGCGUAAAGCGCGCGUAGGUGGUUCGUUAAGUUGAAUGUGAAAGCCCCGGGCUCAACCUGGGAACUGCAUCCAAAACUGGCGAGCUAGAGUAGGGCAGAGGGUGGUGGAUUUUCCUGUGUAGCGGUGAAAUGCGUAGUUAUAGGAAGGAACACCAGUGGCGAAGGCGACCACCUGGGCUCAUACUGACACUGAGGUGCGAAAGCGUGGGGAGCAAACAGG